GAUAUUCGGCCUCCUCCUGACUCCGAGAGCUUCUGGAUCUCCUCGCCCCCAUGUCCUUGGGCAAUCACCUGCUGAUCAUAGAUGGGCAAAUAUGGGAGUCAAGCCAAGCACUCGAUCCCAUCUCCAUCGUACGCUAUGCUCCUCUUGACCUGAGACCUGCUCGGGGCAUCAUCCUGCGGUAAUAGGAAUCUCAUCUUGCGACGUCGCUUCUCGUCCUCCCAAGUCUCCUGUCUCAUGCC
rnacentral:lncRNA from 1 species